UUGCUUGGGCAGCACAUCUACUAAAAUUGGAGCCAUACAAAGAAGAUUAGUAUGGCCCCUGCACAAGGAUGACAUACCAAUUUGUGAAACAUUCCAUAUAUAG